AAAGAGGGCACCACUCGGAAAAACUGGCUUUAUUUGUGUGCUUAGACGGCCCCAUGAGCAACGAUCUAGCACCAUAUAAAUUCAGUAUUUUCGUGGUCGAGAGCCAUUUUU
rnacentral:pre_miRNA from 16 species